rnacentral:rRNA from 1 species
CCUACGGGUGGCUGCAGUGAGGAAUAUUGGUCAAUGGGCGCGAGUCUGAACCAGCCAAGUAGCGUGAAGGAUGACUGCCCUACGGGUUGUAAACUUCUUUUAUAAAGGAAUAAAAUGAGGCACGUGUGCCUUUUUGUAUGUACUUUAUGCAUAAGGAUCGGCUAACUCCGUGCCAGCAGCCGCGGUAAUACGGAGGAUCCGAGCGUUAUCCGGAUUUAUUGGGUUUAAAGGGAGCGUAGAUGGGUUGUUAAGUCAGUUGUGAAAGUUUGCGGCUCAACCGUAAAAUUGCAAUUGAUACUGGCAGUCUUGAGUACAGUUGAGGUAGGCGGAAUGCGUGGUGUAGCGGUGAAAUGCUUAGAUAUCACGAAGAACUCCGAUUGCGAAGGCAGCUUACUAAACUGUGACUGACAUUGAGGCUCGAAAGUGUGGGUAUCAAACAGGAUUAGAUACCCUGGUAGUC